AUUGAACGCUGGCGGCAGGCCUAACACAUGCAAGUCGAGCGGAUGAAGGGAGCUUGCUCCUGGAUUCAGCGGCGGACGGGUGAGUAAUGCCUAGGAAUCUGCCUGGUAGUGGGGGAUAACGUCCGGAAACGGGCGCUAAUACCGCAUACGUCCUGAGGGAGAAAGUGGGGGAUCUUCGGACCUCACGCUAUCAGAUGAGCCUAGGUCGGAUUAGCUAGUUGGUGGGGUAAAGGCCUACCAAGGCGACGAUCCGUAACUGGUCUGAGAGGAUGAUCAGUCACACUGGAACUGAGACACGGUCCAGACUCCUACGGGAGGCAGCAGUGGGGAAUAUUGGACGAGGGGCGAAAGCCUGACACAGCCAUGCCGCGUGUGUGAAGAAGGUCUUCGGAUGGUAAAGCACUUUAAGUUGGGAGGAAGGGCAGUAAGUUAAUACCUUGCUGUUUUGACGUUACCAACAGAAUAAGCACCGGCUAACUUCGUG
rnacentral:rRNA from 1 species